GMCYUUYCYYUUMWUGGAAGUUUAGCGGCGGACGGGUGAGUAACACGUGGGUAACCUGCCCAUAAGACUGGGAUAACUCCGGGAAACCGGGGCUAAUACCGGAUAACAUUUUGAACCGCAUGGUUCGAAAUUGAAAGGCGGCUUCGGCUGUCACUUAUGGAUGGACCCGCGUCGCAUUAGCUAGUUGGUGAGGUAACGGCUCACCAAGGCAACGAUGCGUAGCCGACCUGAGAGGGUGAUCGGCCACACUGGGACUGAGACACGGCCCAGACUCCUACGGGAGGCAGCAGUAGGGAAUCUUCCGCAAUGGACGAAAGUCUGACGGAGCAACGCCGCGUGAGUGAUGAAGGCUUUCGGGUCGUAAAACUCUGUUGUUAGGGAAGAACAAGUGCUAGUUGAAUAAGCUGGCACCUUGACGGUACCUAACCAGAAAGCCACGGCUAACUACGUGCCAGCAGCCGCGGUAAUACGUAGGUGGCAAGCGUUAUCCGGAAUUAUUGGGCGUAAAGCGCGCGCAGGUGGUUUCUUAAGUCUGAUGUGAAAGCCCACGGCUCAACCGUGGAGGGUCAUUGGAAACUGGGAGACUUGAGUGCAGAAGAGGAAAGUGGAAUUUCCAUGUGUAGCGGUGAAAUGCGUASAGAUAUGGAGGAACACCAGUGGCGAAGGCGACUUUCUGGUCUGUAACUGACACUGAGGCGCGAAAGCGUGGGGGAGCAAACAGGAUUAGAUACCCUGGUAGUCCACGCCGUAACGAUGAGUGCUAAGUGUUAGAGGGUUUCCGCCCUUUAGUGCUGAAGUUAACGCAUYAAGCACUCCCGCCUGGGGGAGUACCGGCCGCAGGCUGAAACUCAAAGGAUCUGACSGGRGSGCCCGCACAGCGGKGAGCCAUGGUGGGCUUUAAUUUCCGAA
rnacentral:rRNA from 1 species